UUUCUUUUUUUCCUCCUCCUCCUCCGCCUCUUUCCUUCUGGAGCGGAGGAAGGCUCCCGGCUGCAAGCGAGCGCGCAGUGAUUGGCCGCGCGGGGCGAAAAAGCAGGCAGAGCGCGCGGCGUUUCCUCCCGGAGAGAAGCCGAGCAGCUAGGAGAGAUCGAAGCCGGCAAGCUGGGCUGACUGAGGGAGCCGGCUGCUCGAUCGAGUGUGUGUGUUGGGGGUGGUGGUGUCCCCGUCUUCCUCGCUCUUCGCUCGCUCCUCUCGGGACGGUAACUUUGCCAAGCAGCGCCAAGACUCACACGACACUUGCUAAGGGACGAGACGCCAAAAAAGAAAAGAAAAGAAAAGAAAAGAAAGACGCGGGAGCAAACCGGCUAAGGUAGAGUGCUCCUUCCUAAUGCGACCGCUACUUAUGAGGCGCCGGAGACAAAAUGCAGCCAGCCGCCGCUAAGUGGUCAGCCGUGCUUUGAAUGGGGGCGCCCGGACUUCUCUCCCUGCAGUGAAAUGAACUGGCUAAUAUUGGUGACAUUUUGAUGAUCCAUGGAGAAGCAAGAGGGACCGGUUCUUUAACAAGCUGCCAAUCCCUGGCAGGAGGGUAAUGGAAUCAGAAAGAAACAAAGUUGGACAUGUGCUGGACUAUUCUUCUUCUGUGGAUGCUGAGGUCCCAGUUUUUCAUGCCUGUUGUCUGUGAUGGAUGUGAGGUAAGAAAUACUGUACAGUGUUGUUUUUGUUUUUUGUUUUGUAAAAGAAAUCCCAAAACAAGCUAUGGUAGUAAAAUAGCUUGUAGUUUUCAGUGCAC